CCCUUAGAUGUUCUGGGCUGCACGCGCGCUACACUGAUGCGAUCAACAAGUUUUUCCUAUGUCGAUAGACACGGGUAAUCUUUUGAACUCGCAUCGUGAUGGGGAUAGAUUAUUGUAAUUAUUAAUCUUCAACGAGGAAUUCCUAGUAGGUGCAAAUCAUCAGUUUGCAUCGAUUACGUCCCUGCCCUUUGUACACACCGCCCGUCGCUGCUACCGAUUGGUUGAUCUGGUGAAUUAUUCGGACUGCCGGCUGAAGGGGUUUCCUCAUCUGCCAGCGGAAAGUCUUGUUAACCCUAUCAAUUAGAGGAAGCAGAAGUCGUAACA
rnacentral:rRNA from 1 species